rnacentral:lncRNA from 1 species
GGCGGGGCGAGGAGGUGGUCAAGGAGCCAACCAAUGGAGAGGCCGGGUUGGCCAAUGGGGCGCCUCGGGGGCGGGGCAAACACUUCCGGGGAGGGACAACCAGGCGACUGGGGCGGGGCCAGGACGCGAGGCGGGGCCCACUCGGGAAAACACUCCUGCCUCCGCGCGUGUUUGUCCUGCAGGGUGGGGAGGCCAGUGCGUGUUCGUGAGUCACCGGGCUAGCCUGCAGGGGCUGCGGGGGUGUGGGUGUGAGAGAGGCGAGACCGCAGAGACACGGAGGGGGACAGCUACAGGGAGAGACAAAGAUGGAGAGACAGAGACUCUGAGACACACAAGGAAAGGCGGCUAAGAGAAACAGAGAGAGAGAGACAUCUGUGAGAUGCCGGGAGAAAUGAAGCAGCUCAGGGGUCAGAGACUGGGUGACACACCCUGCGCCGUGGAUCCUGAGAAGAGCACAGUGAACCUUCAGACUCAAAGCCCAGAGACGUCACUGACGGAGGGGGAACCAAGGCCGAGUGGAGAUCCUGGCCUUUCUCUACCUUUCUCAACAUGGACCCAACCCAGGUUCAUCGGAACGUCUCAUGGCAUGAAUCAGACAAAACAUUUCGGGUCAGAACCGGACAUAAGCAAACAGCUUCUGAAACACGGUGUUACCCAAAUUCCAACCUCUGAUGCUGUGUUCCCGUUUAAUUACAUCCGUCUCCACCUGUCUUGUGUGUUAUUCGUAUUUUUUCUUACUUAAGUUUUACAAGGAAACUUGAUGUCACCAUCAGAAGUGGAAACCCAGAACCAUACACAGACAUGAUGAUAAGCUAUAAAAAGAAACACCGGGAGGAGACAACCAUGUGACAGAUUCUCAAACCGAUAACGUCACAGCCAGAGAGCCGGGGCAGGAGUCAGAUAUAGGCAGCACUCAGGGAGACCUCCCAGGCUUGAGUGGGGGCAGGAAGAACUCUCUCACUGCGAAGUCCCCGGACCCUGGCACGGGGGGGCAUACUGGUUUCAGGUAUCUGGUGCCCCACUGAAAAGAAGAGAAGACUGAGGCGUGAAGAAAGGCACAUAAACUCCAAAGUCUGGGUCUCCAGGUCCUGGCUCUGCCAGACUAAGGGGGAUCGAGGGUCUCUAGUUCUUGGGGAGACCGGAUCCAACUGAUUCAGCCCCCCAGGGCCAGAAGGGCCAUCCCAGGUGUGAGUCAAAUCUGAGGUCGGGGCCCCUGGGGCAUCUUGGAGUGGGUUGGGGCAGGUUUGAGAGGACACUGCUGCCUGUUGAAAACAUUCCCAGCCGGUGGAAUCAUAACGCACAGACCUGCGUGGGCAGCUGCGUCUGGAAUGUGCUUUCAAGAGGCCGCCAGGCCAAUGAGCCUGGUGCUUUUAGAGCACAGGUCCAGCUUCCACUCUGGGCCAAUGGGGUAACGAAAUCUGAGAGUCCAAGGACAUGUGGCAGCUUGAGCUCGAGCCCCUAAGGCCUGCUUGCCUGGCCCCUGAGAACUCCUCCAGCUUUGCCUUUGCUUCCUCUUCCUAACCUCCACUCUGCUCAAUUUUCUCCAGCUAUCUACACUUGACUCUGCCUCAGGGCCUUUGCACUUGCUGUGAACUCUGCUUGGAACACAGUGAUCCCACAUAUUCUUAGUCUCAUCCCUCCAUGCCAGCUCAUGCUCCCCUCCCCUGGCCUCAGUUUCCCCAGUACCUUCCUGGUCUGAUUCUAAAACUCUGGCUCUGACUACUCCCUAGUGGGACCACCCUGAAGAUCAGGUCUGGGAGCCUCCAGGCUCCAGGCUCAUUCCAUUUGUCAUCAAAACAAUUUGAUAGGUUGGUCUGCUUUUCGCGCCCGGCUCUGCUCCUGUCCUUGGACUGGAGGGAGUGGACGAGGGAGACGUCCCAGAAACGACGGCCCAGCUGCCCCUGUUCUGGGGCUGGGAGUCAGACAGACCUCUCCCUUCACUGCGGUCUCCUUAAUGUUGGGGCAACUUGCUCGACCUCUCCCAGCCUCAACUUCCUCCGCAGUAAACUGGGGCUAGUCAUAGUUGGCGCUCCAAAGUCGAAGUUGGAGCAAUGAAGAUCGCAGACCGGAAUCUCUAAAUUGCAGAAUGCUAUCCUAAUUAUCUGGCGAUCAUUACUUUAAAACAAAAACAAAAACAAAAACAAAAACAAAAACAAAACAAAACAAAACAAAACACCAACCUGGGUUCCUGGUCCUCUCGAAGGUGGCUUAGAGUCACCCCGGGUUACCCA